UUCAGUCACAUGGACUGUCUCUGCUCACUGCUUAUUUGUGUGUAGCAGCAGGACGUGAUCCAAACCCCAGCGUGUUGAGGUUUAGCUGCACAGAAACAACAGGUAAUGCUUUGGCAAAUGAUGAGCAUUCCCUGCAGUUAAUGUGUGACAUUCAUAAAAAAAACAGCCCCACACAGGCUGGCGAGCAGCUUCCUCUUUUCAUCCUGAGGAGAAAAUAGAGUCCGUUUCUCAGCUCACUCGCCUCCUUCCUCCUUUCUCACCUCCUCCUCCCCAGCUUCUCUUUCUUGGUGAGAACUGAAACAUAAUGGCAGUGGUGGGACUGUGUGAAGUCAAUGCCUGCAAACAACAACAUGUUGUGCGCCCGGGUUGCCUUGGCAACGGACUUUGAGCCCACAAGGUGCGAUGGGAGAUGCUGCACCAGUGCUGCUGUAAUGUCAGUCAGCUCUGUGGUUCCUGCCUCGUCCUCCGUCAGUGUCGGGUCGGCCUGGUCCCAACCCCGACAGGCUGCAGCCCAGCAACAGGUGGACAGCGUCCGCGCGUCUCCUUCCUGCAUCGCCCUCCUGCAUCGCCCUCCACUGAAUGAGUUCCUGCCUUGUCACCGAGUGAUUAAUGCUUGCAAAGGGCUGCUACCGUGCUCGGUGUGACCGACUCGCUGGGUGACGUGAUCAUUCAUUUGUAUUACAGAGAUUCACAAAUGCAGAUAAUUCCCCAGUAUUGUUUUUUGACAGUGAACUCUGAGAUAAUCAUAAAUCAUACUUUUUCUGUGUGAGGUUGUGAGAUGUCCCGUCCAGGAGCGAUUCAUCAUCUUAAUAAAUGUGUCACCACUGGGCUUUUUCUGUACUGGCGGGCUUUGUUGGAUCUUCGCACGCUGCCACAGCGCUGAGCUGAGGAGCCUCACCUCAGAACCCCAGCCAUCACCAGCCGCUGGGAACCACAGGGUUUAAUGUGUCGCCCCCCCCAAACCUCACGCCGUCUCUCAGCUGUCGCUUCUUUUCACGCUGACCAGCGCAUGAGACCAACCGUGACGUGCUGAGUGACAGCGGGGACUCGGCCUCUGCACCAGGUGACUCACCGCGCAGCACUUUUCAAGCCUCUGCACCACAGACGGGAUUUCUGCUUCCAUCUGGCCUGGAAAUGUUAGCGCUUCACAAAGAAGAAGGAAUGUGGGAGGUCAAAGGUCAACAUCGCUACUCCAUUUCCGGUUACUGGUGUGAUGUGGCUUUAGAGACCAGCACCACCCAGUUGUGUGUCGCUGCCACUGGAUGAUGGAGGAGCUGAGCAGCAGUAGACGCUGUCACCUUCACGGCUGCUCGAUGUCUGUCAUUACCAGCAUGACUGCCAGGCGCCUUUGAGCAACUGUUUGCUGCUCUACAAACAGCAGUGACUCGUUCUAGCAGGUGAGGAAGAGUCCACCUGUCCACAAGUAAGGAACAUGAGCUGUAUGCGGAUGUUCUCGCCAGAUGUUCUAAGAGGCUGUUCUAUCAGACACUCUGCCCAUGGUGCUGCUUCCUGCCCUGCCUCAUGCUCUGCCUCGCUCUCAUCCACGGGAGGCAGAUUAAUCCCGUUCCUCUGGUUUCUUCUAAUCAAGGCCGUCUCACACCUUGACAGCCCGUCAGUAAAGGUCAACACAGCCGGCGAGUGGGAAGACAAAUAAUUUACUCAUUAUGACUCGUUUGACAAAUAUAGAAAGUCAAUAACGACGCUGUGGAAAUGAUUUAGCUCAGCAGAACCACUGGCUCCUACGACAGACUGGGAAUCCAUUAAAGAGCAGACCUGUUUUAUUGUAGCU